rnacentral:hammerhead_ribozyme from 1 species
ACCCAGCUGAAGAGUCCUAAAUAGAACGAAACGCGAGUCCUGGAU